UGGCGAACGGGUGAGUAAUACAUCGGAACGUGUCAGUAGCGGGGGAUAACCUCUCGAAAGAGAGGCUAAUACCGCAUACGUCCUACGGGAGAAAGAGGGGGAUCGCAAGACCUCUCACUAUUGGAGCGGCCGAUGUCGGAUUAGCUAGUUGGCGGGGUAACGGCCCACCAAGGCGACGAUCCGUAGCUGGUCUGAGAGGACGACCAGCCACACUGGAACUGAGACAUUGUUCCAGACUCCUACGGGAGGCAGCAGUGGGGAAUUUUGGACAAUGGGCGCAAGCCUGAUCCAGCCAUGCCGCGUGAGUGAAGAAGGCCUUCGGGUUGUAAAGCUCUUUCGGCUGGGACGAAAAGGUCCGUGCUAACACCACGGAUCCAUGACGGUACCAGCAGAAGAAGCACCGGCUAACUACGUGCCAGCAGCCGCGGUAAUACGUAGGGUGCAGGCGUUAAUCGGAAUUACUGGGCGUAAAGCGUGCGCAGGCGGUCUAUUAAGACAGGUGUGAAAUCCCCGGG
rnacentral:rRNA from 1 species